GGGCCGGUAGAUCAGUUGGAAGAUCGCUCGCUUGGCGUGCGAGCGGCCUCGGGUUCAAAUCCCGACCGGUCCA
rnacentral:tRNA from 1 species